rnacentral:lncRNA from 1 species
AUAGGAGUUAUUUGAGAUUAUUUAAACCUUUGUGGAAUAACUUUUAUGAAACAUAUAACAGUUGUUAAUUACAACUUGAUAAAUAUGUAACACAUAAAAAGCAAUCAAUUAUAGUGUAAUACAACUUGUUAGCCUAGCUAUAAGGGUAUAUGCCGUUGAUAGCUAUGUAAUUUAAUUUUGAAACCAGAAAUAGUCCAGUGACAAAAAAAAAAAAAAAACAGAAGUAGUCUCUAUAAUACUGACUAAUUGACCCACGGUUUUCUCCACUAAUCAAUUUUCAAAUCUAAAUUAAUAUAUCAACCUUGCUUUGAAUCUUUUCAUCAAAAUAAUUUUUAUAACAGAUGUAUAUAUGGGUAUAUUAUAUUACUGUAUUGUUGAGUGGUUAAUCAAAGACUAAUGGAGAUAUUUGAUUGGUUAUAUAGCAUCAUCAUUAACUAGUUUUUUUUAACAACCAAGUAAAUUAGAAUGUGGUAAGUAUAUCUAGCAAAUCAGGGAAACAAUAUCGCGAAACUUAUAUUAAG